rnacentral:rRNA from 1 species
UACAGAGGGUGCGAGCGUUGUCCGGAAUCACUGGGCGUAAAGGGCGCGUAGGUGGUGGCUUAAGCGUGCGGUGAAAGCUCGGGGCUCAACCCCGAGUCGGCCGUGCGAACUGGGCUCACUGGAGCAUAGUAGAGGCAGGUGGAAUUCCGGGUGUAGCGGUGGAAUGCGUAGAGAUCCGGAAGAACACCGGUGGCGAGGCGGCCUGCUGGGCUAUGGCUGACACUGAGGCGCGACAGCGUGGGGAGCAAACAGG